AGAAAUGAGAGGGGCCAAACUAUGAUAGUCAUGAGCUAGGGUAAGUUUAGUGCUACCUCUUUGUUUUAUUUAUUUUCUUUGUAAUUGAAGAGUAAUGGAUAGUUUGUGAAUACUGUGAAGUAAAUCGAUGGAAUAAAUCAGAGAUUGAUUUAUGAGAUAUUGAGUAUGUAAUUGGAGUAUUGUGUGAUUGAAUUAUUAUGAGAAGAUAUUGGAAGUUUGUUAUCAGAUUCUAUCGAAGAUUGAUUUUAGAUGGAAGAUUAUGAUUGUUGUUAAUUGAAAGUUGUGUGUGUUUUGACAGAAGAAGUUUGUGCUUAUAAAAAUUAUUUGAAGCAAGAUUGAUUAGAGAAAAAGAUUGUUAUUUCUAAUAUUGGAUGGAAUUUAUAUAUUUUGAGUGGUCUUUUGAAAGUACAGGAUUGCACAUUGUUGUUAUCAAUUUGUGAAGGAGUAUUAUUAGUAGGAGAAAGCAUUGUAAUAUUCUUUGGUAUUUUAGUGGUUCGGAAUACGAUUAAUUGUGUGAUCCUAACAUGUAAGCUCAUGCGAUUAGUCUUUUCUUAUGUU
rnacentral:lncRNA from 1 species